GAUGAACGCUGGCUACAGGCUUAACACAUGCAAGUCGAGGGGAAACGACGGGGAAGCUUGCUUCCUCGGGCGUCGACCGGCGCACGGGUGAGUAACGCGUAUCCAACCUGCCUCUGACUGAGGGAUAACCCGUCGAAAGUCGGCCUAAUACCUCAUGGCAUCGUCUGCGGGCAUCCAACGACGAUUAAAGAUUUAUCGGUAAUGGAUGGGGAUGCGUCUGAUUAGCUUGUUGGCGGGGUAACGGCCCACCAAGGCUACGAUCAGUAGGGGUUCUGAGAGGAAGGUCCCCCACAUUGGAACUGAGACACGGUCCAAACUCCUACGGGAGGCAGCAGUGAGGAAUAUUGGUCAAUGGACGGAAGUCUGAACCAGCCAAGUAGCGUGCAGGAUGACGGCCCUAUGGGUUGUAAACUGCUCUUGUAUGGGGAUAAAGUUAGGGACGUGUCCCUAUUUGCAGGUACCAUACGAAUAAGGACCGGCUAAUUCCGUGCCAGCAGCCGCGGUAAUACGGAAGGUCCAGGCGUUAUCCGGAUUUAUUGGGUUUAAAGGGAGCGUAGGCUGGAGAUUAAGUGUGUUGUGAAAUGUAGACGCUCAACGUCUGAAUUGCAGCGCAUACUGGUUUCCUUGAGUACGCACAACGUUGGCGGAAUUCGUCGUGUAGCGGUGAAAUGCUUAGAUAUGACGAAGAACUCCGAUUGCGAAGGCAGCUGACGGGAGCGCAACUGACGCUUAAGCUCGAAGGUGCGGGUAUCAAACAGG
rnacentral:rRNA from 1 species